GGUGAAGAAUAUAAGUAAGUUAUUAGUAGUAAAAGGUGAAAUUAGAUUGUUAUUAAGCAAUUGAAAUAUAUUGAGACUGAAGCUAAGAAAGUUUAAUUAAAAACUAGGAUUAGAUACCCUAUUAUUUUAAAUUUAAAUGUUUAAAACUCUAGAUAAGUAGUAGAUAAGUACUUAAAAAUUAAAAAAUUUGGCGGUGAUUUAAUCUUUUCAGAGGAACUUGUUUUUUAAAUCGAUAAACCACGCUUGAUCUUACUUAUUUUAGUAUAAUCAGUAUGUAUACCAUCAUUAGCAGGUAAUUUUUAAAGAAAAAAUUACUAAAAAUAAUUAAUUAAAAAAAUUAGAUCAUGGUGCAGCUUAUAAAUAAGAUAAAAUGAGUUACAAUAAAGUUUUUUAUACGAAUUAGUAAAGGAAGCAGUUACUAUAAAGGUGGAUUUGAUUGUAAGUAUGGAUUAAUAAGCUUAUCUGAUAUUGGUGCUAAAUCAUGUACAUAUCGCCCGUCGCUUUCGCUAACCGAAAUAAGUCGUAACAUA
rnacentral:rRNA from 1 species